UUUUAUGAUAAUGCGAUUUUAUUUGAUAACAACGUUUAUUAAAAUAAUGAUUUCAUUUUAUUAUUUCUAAUUAAUCAAACUCCUUAAAUUUGUUUAUGGGUACUUUUGUUCAUGUUGUCCAUCCACAUUAGUAAUCCAAAACCCAAAUACUAGUCCAUAGCCAUAUGCCAAUUUUAGCCAAAAAAAAAAAGCAAACGAAGAAAGAGAAAUAAAGAAGCGUGAUUAUCAUCACCAUCUUAAUCCCUCCUCACAUACAAAAUACACAGAGCAAAGGUCAGAUUUUUUCCACAAACUCAACAGUUCUUGUCAGAGAACUUUGAAAAUCAAGCACAAAUUCAACCCCAACCUCAACUCUUUUGUCCAAAAUCCCCCAAAAUCAGAAAAAAAAUCUCACACCAUACUUCCUCCAUUAAUGGAGGUUGAUUAAGCUCCACAAAUUCAGAAAUCUUCGUCUAUAAAUAAUAGCAACCCAAACACAUUCAAUUGCUCAAGCAAACAACUUCAAAGACUCCGAUUUCGUAGACGAGGAUUAUCAAGAGCGCUAAUAUGUUCGUGAACUUGACUUUUGGGCACGCGUCACGAGGUGGUUACAGGGUUUCGUCCCAGCCUACAAGUAGGUGGUUACAGGGUUUCGUCCCAGCCUACAAUGUUGAAGUAAGUUGUUACAGGGUUUCGUCCCGGCUUACUGGCGUUCUCUUUCCUCUCCUUGAUUAACUGGAUUAAUUGAAGUAAUGAUAUGAUUAUUCAGUGUAUAUAUAUGUGUAUAUGUGCUAUGACUUCCAAAACUAUUAAUCUACUAUUUUACAAAGUAUUUUCAACUUAAGUAUUUUACGGGAUGGAGUUGCAAUUACUCAGUUUUUCUGAUUUUUGGGAGUUUGUCUCUCUUGUCUCUUUUCAAUGUAUUUGUGCACGUGGGUGAUCGAUCGGAGGAACAAAAGGGAGAUCACUUAGAGUUAUCAUCCACUUAGCAUAUGAUUAGCUUCCGCUGGAACUCUGAAACUUUUAAUUAAUUAGUAAUGUUUAAUGAAAAAUUUACUUAGUUGUAAUGAUUAAUGAAUUUGAGUUGGUGUGUUGUAACUUAGCCUUGCAUUUAUUUCCAAGGAGAUAAUUGCGGCAGUAGCACCACCCGUCGAAUCGAACCCUCGUGGAUUUAUUUUCCUCCCCCAAAACCCGAGCUUUUUCGAAUAAAAAAGGGUUCGGGUCGGCGAGGGUGUUACAUGAAAUGCUCUUCUUUUCAGUUCAUUUUUAUGGUUAGUUUGAGUGAUAAUUUGCAUCUUUUUAUGGUUAAUGGGUUUAUGUAUGUGUGGAAACUAGCUAUUGAGUGUGUAACAACUCAAGGUUCAUUUUAUUUUUGCCAUGAAAAAAGGAUUUAUGGUGAAAGUUGAUAAGAAUUACUCUGAAGUUGAAAGCAAUAUGAGGUCCAAGUGAAAGAUAGUAGGUUAGAAGCGUAUUUGGAAAGAAUUAUGUACUCAAGGGCUAGAUUGCGGAAAAGGGGUAUUAUAUACUACUAUGUCUGAUCUUUUAUGUAAGAAUUUUUUGGUGAAGAUAGAGAAGAGACAAGAGAAAGCAUAAAGGAAGAUGGUUUAGUAGCAUAGGAGGGAGGUACGGGUUGUGUGGGGAUUGAAGGAGGAGAGGUACAAAAAAAUGGUUAUUCACUUCUUCAUGGUCUUUGUACCAUGAAAGAAGGUACUAUAUGAUUGCUUUUUGCUGGAUUUAGUUUUAGUAUUCGUACUCCUUAUUUCCUGCUUUUUAUCUAUGAAUCAAUUGUUUUUGUGUGCUGAUAAAAAUAGCCACUACUAAACAUUUUAGUUAUCAAUCUUAUCACUUUGUUUCUAGCUAAAGUCCUUAUAAACAACUUUAAGGCCAAGCAAUUUCGCCCCAUAACCUGUUUGUAUUUGGAUCAAAUUUUUACAGAGUUAUGUUGUAAAAGUUUAACAAUUCAAAACUAAUCUACAUAAAUAUAUCAUAAAAUUAUCAAGUCAUAUGUUUUACAUGCCACCAAUUAUUUUAAGGCUAUGAGUCUUAGAUAUAAGGCCAAAGCAUCAGUAAUUGCGCCUGAUGAGCUUGUUACCAAAUAAGAAAUCUUUUAUAUAAUAGAUAACACAAAGCAC